rnacentral:rRNA from 1 species
AGAGUUUGAUCAUGGCUCAGAUUGAACGCUGGCGGCAUGCUUUACACAUGCAAGUCGAGCGGCAGCGCGGGGGCAACCCUGGCGGCGAGCGGCGAACGGGUGAGUAAUGCAUCGGAACGUGUCCCGUAAUGGGGGAUAACGCCGCGAAAGCGGCGCUAAUACCGCAUACGCUCUACGGAGGAAAGUGGGGGAUCCGCAAGGACCUCACGUUAGGGGAGCGGCCGAUGUCCGAUUAGCUAGUUGGUGGGGUAACGGCCCACCAAGGCGACGAUCGGUAGCUGGUCUGAGAGGAUGAUCAGCCACACUGGGACUGAGACACGGCCCAGACUCCUACGGGAGGCAGCAGUGGGGAAUUUUGGACAAUGGGGGCAACCCUGAUCCAGCCAUGCCGCGUGCGGGAAGAAGGCCUUCGGGUUGUAAACCGCUUUUAGCCGGGAAGAAAAGGCGCGAGUUAAUACCUUGCGUUUUUGACGGUACCGGCGGAAUAAGCACCGGCUAACUACGUGCCAGCAGCCGCGGUAAUACGUAGGGUGCGAGCGUUAAUCGGAAUUACUGGGCGUAAAGCGUGCGCAGGCGGUUCGUUGUGUCGGUGGUGAAAGCCCCGGGCUUAACCUGGGAAUGGCCAUGGAAACUGGCGAACUGGAGUGUGGCAGAGGGGGGUGGAAUUCCGCGUGUAGCAGUGAAAUGCGUAGAGAUGCGGAGGAACACCGAUGGCGAAGGCAGCCCCCUGGGCUAGCACUGACGCUCAGGCACGAAAGCGUGGGGAGCAAACAGGAUUAGAUACCCUAGUAGUCC